rnacentral:rRNA from 1 species
UACGUAGGGUGCGAGCGUUAAUCGGAAUUACUGGGCGUAAAGUGUGCGCAGGCGGCCGCGCAAGUCGAGUGUGAAAGCCCCGAGCUUAACUUGGGAAUUGCGCUCGAAACUACGUGGCUGGAGUGUGGCAGAGGAAGGUGGAAUUCCAGGUGUAGCGGUGAAAUGCGUAGAGAUCUGGAGGAACACCAAUGGCGAAGGCAGCUCGCUGGGACGGUACUGACGCUGAGACGCGAAAGCGUGGGGAGCGAACAGG